AUUGAACGCUGGCGGCAGGCCUAACACAUGCAAGUCGAGCGGAGCGGCGGACGGGUGAGUAAUGCCUAGGAAUCUGCCUGGUAGUGGGGGAUAACGUCCGGAAACGGGCGCUAAUACCGCAUACUAUCAGAUGAGCCUAGGUCGGAUUAGCUAGUUGGUGGGGUAAAGGCCUACAAAGGCGACGAUCCGUAAAUGGUCUGAGAGGAUGAGCAGUCACACGGUAAAUAAGACACGGUCCAGACUCCUACGGGAGGCAGAAGGGGGGAAUAUUGGAAAAUGGGCGAAAGCCUGAUCCAGCCAGGCCGAGUGUGUGAAGAAGGGUUUCGGAUUGUAAAGCACUUUAAGUUGGGAGGCGUUACCAACAGAAUAAGCACCGGCUAACUUCGUGCCAGCCGCCGCGGUAAUAC
rnacentral:rRNA from 1 species